CUUUUACGGGCUGUAGUUGCGAAGGUAGUUCCUUCUAUUCCAUGGCAGAUGCGGUCAAAAGGAUCCACGUAAGCCACACCGCAAGGUGUUGGUGAGCACGGCGCAUUCUAGAAGUAAGACGCACCGUCCGCGUUAUGCAGCAGAGGGCUGCACGGGCGAGAGGGUGAUGGUGCAAGCUCAACCCCAGUGCGCGAGUGUGGGGGCGAAGACUAGGUCAGCCGUAAGAG
rnacentral:ncRNA from 21 species